UCCCAUCUGUCGGACCCGCAGCAUCUUGAAUGGUCUGCCAUGUCGCCGGUGGCCGACGACGAAACUAACAAAUCACAAGGCAGCCCAGGUCUUGACCCUUCACACACACACUCCAAAAGAGAAGGAAUAGUACGUUGUAGAAGCCGAGUCACUUGAACACGUGGUGUACAGGUAUAAACUGGAAGGACUUAGCAACGUUGCUUCAAGGCGAUGGCUGGGACGAAACUCUAGCCCCGGCCAUCUCCCCGCUCUCCCGCCCACCAAGCAUCAUCGGAGGAUGCCGACGGGCAAAUCCCGUUUGGUGGACUACGGUGGCGGGCACUCGUUUCCUCUUGUUGCAGGGACCUCGAGCCGAGCGUGGCGUGCGGUCUUGGGAGACAUUAUGUUCAGCACAUCACAUAAACCUUUUUUAAGGUGGCAUAGUUGUGAUGGCUGCUAAGGCUCUGACGAAAGGUGCAACGACGGCAAUAUGAUCGACGGUGGAGGCAGCGAUGAUCAUUCAUGCCAGUCCACGAGACGGUUGAUGUCUUCAAGGUAGUUAACUGAAAAAGUAUGUCUUCAUCCAAAGAAGACUGUAAGGUGGCAAGAAUGCCCUGAUCGGUGAGGUACCACCAUGUGGACUCAGGGUUCGCAAAGGCCAAUGCGUUUCCCCGGUGCCCUGGGUGAUGGUCUCGGCCAAAGCAAGCAUGUCACAGUAUCUCGAAAAGGUUUGUUGGCAUGUGCCUUACACUGCGCAAAGUUUGUGGGCGUGAGAUGCGGCAGAUUUGGUGAGGGCUAGAGAUUAUGUGAUCUAUUACAAUUAUAUCCACAACUAUUAUUGCACUAUAUGUGUAGCAUAUCUACUUCACAUUUUACAUUUCAUAUGGUAAAUGAACAACUACAUAUGGUA